GUCGGCUUCACCUCUUUGCUCCGUCUUGUGAAUUUGGGUAAGUCUUGCUUUCUCACUGCACUCUGAGCUGUGCAGAUUAGCUGCACAUUAGCUCUCUGUUUUCCUCUAUGAGGUUUUGGGAAAAGGGCUGGAGAUACGAUCUCCACAGAGACUGGCAUGAUGUGGAAAUAGCAGUCCAUGGCGUUCUGCAACUCAGCCCCGGGCUGGAGCAUGAGGCAACACCAUGAGAAUCUCAAGCGAGGUGGCAUACUGAUCUCUUUGCAUGGAGGUGGGAUUUAAAUAAUCUGUUUACUGGAUUUCCUCUAGAGUUUUCCUCCGGGGGAAAAUGACGGCCUGUCGAUGUGGUAACCACAGUGCCACCUCAUGGUUGGUUCUCGAGUUUUGGGAAAUCCUAGAGUGCACCCUCCUGAAAGGGAUGCCCCUCUCCGUGCCAUAGUUGGAGCUUCGGUGGAACACCUGCUUGGCAUGCAGAAGGUUCUUGCAGGUUCUGCUGCCUUCAUGCACUGGCCGUGGGCUUCCCAGAAGCAUCUGGUUGGUCUACCAUUGUGGAGGGAAGGAGCCAGGGUGGAUGGAUGCCUUGGCUAAGUAGGCAGAACAGGUGCUUGGCAUGCAGAAGGAUUCAGGUUCAAUUCCUCCAUGUAGGUCUGGCACUGCCCCUGCCUGAAACCCUGAAGGGCCACUGCCAGUCCAUGUAGACAACACUGCCUUCUACAUUCUCAGCCCUUCUGCAUGCAGAGCAAGUGCUCUAACCACUGAUCUGCUGCCCCAUUGCACUUAGGUCUCUAGUUGGGAAUGGAGCCUCCAGGGACAGAGACAGUGUAUCUCAGAAUCUCAAUUGCGUGGCGAGUUCCCGCAUCCCCCCAUUGGAAAUAAAAACACACGACACCAAUAUUUUAGGUUAAUGGGUGAAAAAUGGCCACAACUUUAUUGGUUACAGGUAAUGAGUGGUAUUGGCUUAGGCAUUGGUCCUACCGACUAUCCGGCUUCAGCCUGAUUGCAUAAAGGCCGGCAAGGGUUAACCACCAGUAGGGGGACUCCUGCUGAUGCACGUCAACUAGGAGCUCCCCUGGGGUCACCGCUUGGGGGCAUGCCUUGGGCCCACACCUCCAUAAGCUUUGGACAGGGCCACUUCCCCCGGAAUCCUUUACCGGACUACCCUUUGCUAUGGGGGGAGGUGAUGGCACUUCCUCCCCCCUCUCAUCUACAUAACAAUACCCUUACCAAUGCCUAACUGCCAAUGCCAAGGAAGUUGUGACGAUUUGCUAUGAGGUAGGCGAAAAACCAAAUGGCUGGAGCCAAUUUGCCAAGUGGAAAAAAUUCCUAUCAGGCCCCUUAACGGCGAGCAACCGAGGUCCAUAGCAAGGUCAGAGAGCCAAACCUAAAGGGCGGGGGUGGGGGUUGGGAAACCGGAGCAGCUGCGGCGCUGAAAGAGGAAGCUCCUCGGCCGCGCUGGCCCUAAAUAGCGUGAGCCACGCCUCCCAGGCCAGCCGAUUGGCUGGCAAGGGGAAUGAUGCAGCCGAGGAUUCCCUUAAGGAGGCGGGGACUGCAAGCCAGCCCCUGCGCACGUGGGGGGCGUGAAGCCCGCAACCCCACCUCCUCUCUAGCUCGGAAGUGGCUUUGAUGGGAGAGAAAUCAAAAGGGGAGGGUGGUCCCUGCCACGUCCUUCUCACAGGGCUUCUCAGAAGUGUCUGGUUAGCCCCUGUUGGGAACUGGAGUCGGGGAUAAGGUCAACCUCUCUUUGCUCCCCUAAAUUAUUCUUUGUUCCUUCAUUCUGCCUCUGCAGGUUUAUCCACCCACUUUUGGAAACAUGUCCCAGUGCAAGCAAGGCUGCAAGGCUCCCCCCACCAAAUGCCCACCCAAAACUGCCCAGUGCUGCCCCCCAGCCGUGAAGUGUCCCCCCAAAACUGCCCAGUGCUGCCCCCAAGCUGUGAAGUGUCCCCCGAAAACCAAGCAACCUCCCAAGGGCUGCUGUUGAUGAUGUUCUUUCUUGGCUGCUGGAAAACUGAGGGGAGCUCCCUGCGAAAGCAAUUCAACAUUGAUCACCUGCUGGACCUCACUGACGCCAUCGAAGCCAGUCCCUUCUGCACUCUGCUUUGACGUUUUGCUUUCUCCAAAAUGUUUGGGUUUUGCUUUGUCCUAUCCUAUACAAUCAUCGCAGCAUUUCAGGGAGUCUUGUUGACCAACUGAGCUCCUGUCUGGAAUCUCCUUCUUAAUAUGUCAUGACCCAGCCAUGCUGGUUGUGAAAAGCCCAAUACCCUGAUGGGUUUCCUCACCCUCACGGGCAGGUGAAUGGCAAUAAAAGCAACUAGUUUCCCAGCA